rnacentral:rRNA from 1 species
GUCCACGCCGUAAACGAUGUGCGCUAGACGUCGGGCAGCUUGCUGUUCGGUGUCGCAGCUAACGCAUUAAGCGCACCGCCUGGGGAGUACGGUCGCAAGAUUAAAACUCAAAGGAAUUGACGGGGGCCCGCACAAGCGGUGGAGCAUGUGGUUUAAUUCGAUGCAACGCGCAGAACCUUACCAGCCCUUGACAUCCCGGUCGCGGUUUCCAGAGAUGGAUUCCUUCAGUUCGGCUGGACCGGU